rnacentral:tRNA from 1 species
CCUCCUGAUAAUAGAACCUUAGGUUCAUCUCAUAGAGAUCUAGCGCCAAAGGCACAUAAUCCUUAG